CGGCAAAAGCUCAAAUUUGAAAUCUGGCAUUCAUUUGGAUGUCCGAGUUGUAAUUUGGAGGAGCGUCUUCGGGAGCAGACACCGUCCUAAGUUCCUUUGGAACUGGACAUCACAGAGGGUGAGAAUCCCGUGCCUGGGCGGCAGUCUGUUCCCAUGCGAAGCGUUUCCGACGAGUCGAGUUGUUUGGGAAUGCAGCUCAAAACGGGUGGUAAAUUUCAUCUAAAGCUAAAUAUUGGCGAGAGACCGAUAGCGCACAAGUAGAGUGAUCGAAAGAUGAAAAGCACUUUGAAAAGAGAGUUAAAAAGUACGUGAAAUUGUUGAAAGGGAAGCGCUUGAGAUUGAACCUGGAAGGGAUGGCUGUAAGGUAGAGCGGCUCAAUUAUGGGCCCCCUACGUUUACAAUCCGCUAUCACCUACACCAGGCCACCAUCGGUUCUGACGGCGAAAUAAACAGCCAGGGAAUGUGGCUCCCCUCGGGGAGUGUUAUAGACCUAGCCUAUUAGCGCCAGCCGGGACCGAGGAAAGAGCGAGCUGGGUGGUAAUCCCCCAUGACCUCAAGGAUGUGUGGCAUGUUGAUCUUAAGCGACCCGUCUUGAA
rnacentral:rRNA from 1 species